UCAAAUUAGAGCUUGAUAAAGUAUUUCAUUUACAUUGAAAUGAUAUUAAUAUAAAUUAAUUAGUUUGAG
rnacentral:tRNA from 1 species